rnacentral:rRNA from 1 species
GUGAGGAAUAUUGGUCAAUGGGCGGGAGCCUGAACCAGCCAAGUCGCGUGAAGGAUGAAGGAUCUAUGGUUCGUAAACUUCUUUUGCAGGGGAAUAAAGUGCAGGACGUGUCCUGUUUUGUAUGUACCCUGAGAAUAAGGAUCGGCUAACUCCGUGCCAGCAGCCGCGGUAAUACGGAGGAUCCGAGCGUUAUCCGGAUUUAUUGGGUUUAAAGGGUGCGUAGGUGGUUUGAUAAGUCAGCGGUGAAAGUUUGCAGCUUAACUGUAAAAAUGCCGUUGAAACUGUCGGACUUGAGUGUAAAUGAGGUAGGCGGAAUGCGUGGUGUAGCGGUGAAAUGCAUAGAUAUCACGCAGAACUCCGAUUGCGAAGGCAGCUUACUAAGCUACAACUGACACUGAAGCACGAAAGCGUGGGGAUCAAACAGGAUUAGAAACCCGGGUAGUCC